rnacentral:tRNA from 1 species
GUCAAGAUGGCCGAGUGGUUAAGGCGCCAAACUUAAGAUUCUAACUCAAAUAAUAGAUUAAUAGGUAAUAUUGUGAUAUUGGUUACUUGGCAUUCUGGUCUUCGAAGAAGGCGUGGGUUCGAACCCCACUCUUGACA